UUUCCGUAGGUGAACCUGCGGAAGGAUCAUUAUUGUAUAACCGCCGUGCGAGGGCUGUCGCUGACCCGAAAGGUCGUGCACGCCCGAGUUCCCUCACACACAUCCAUCUCACCCCUACGUGCACCACCGCGUGGGUCGCCCUUUGGCUUGUUCGGAGGGGGGCUUACGUUUUCACACAAACUUUGUAUGCAGUGUAGAAUGUAUUUUUUGUUUUUGUGAUCACGCAAUAAAUACAACUUUCAACAACGGAUCUCUUGGCUCUC
rnacentral:misc_RNA from 1 species